rnacentral:rRNA from 1 species
GAUGAACGCUGGCGGCGUGCCUAAUACAUGCAAGUCGAGCGAACAGACGAGGAGCUUGCUCCUCUGACGUUAGCGGCUGACGGGUGAGUAACACGUGGAUAACCUACCUAUAAGACUGGGAUAACUUCGGGAAACCGGAGCUAAUACCGGAUAAUAUAUUGAACCGCAUGGUUCAAUAGAGAAAGACGGAUUUGCUGUCACUUAUAGAUGGAUCCGCGCCGCAUUAGCUAGUUGGUAAGGUAACGGCUUACCAAGGCAACGAUGCGUAGCCGACCUGAGAGGGUGAUCGGCCACACUGGAACUGAGACACGGUCCAGACUCCUACGGGAGGCAGCAGUAGGGAAUCUUCCGCAAUGGGCGAAAGCCUGACGGAGCAACGCCGCGUGAGUGAUGAAGGUCUUCGGAUCGUAAAACUCUGUUAUUAGGGAAGAACAAAUGUGUAAGUAACUAUGCACGUCAUGACGGUACCUAAUCAGAAAGCCACGGCUAACUACGUG